AUACGUAGGGGGCGAGCGUUGUCCGGAAUGAUUGGGCGUAAAGGGUGCGUAGGCGGCCCGGUAAGUCUGGAGUGAAAGUCCUGUUUUUAAGAUGGGAAUUGCUUUGGAUACUGUCGGGCUUGAGUGCAGGAGAGGUAAGUGGAAUUCCCAGUGUAGCGGUGAAAUGCGUAGAGAUUGGGAGGAACACCAGUGGCGAAGGCGACUUACUGGACUGUAACUGACGCUGAGGCGCGAAAGUGUGGGGAGCGAACAGGAUUAUAUACCCUGGUAGUCCACACUGUAAACGAUGAAUGCUAGGUGUAGGGGGUAUCGACCCCGUCUGUGCCGCAGUCAACACAAUAAGCAUUCCGCCUGGGGAGUACGACCGCAAGGUUGAAACUCAAAUGAAUUGACGGGG
rnacentral:rRNA from 1 species